rnacentral:rRNA from 1 species
AAUCAACGCUGGCGGCGUGCCUAACACAUGCAAGUCGCACGAGAAAGGGUCUUCGGAUCUGAGUAAAGUGGCGCACGGGUGAGUAACACGUGAAUUAUCUACCUUCGAGUGGGGAAUAACUUCGGGAAACCGAGGCUAAUACCGCAUAAUAUCUACGGAUCAAAGCAGUAAUGCGCUUGAAGAGGAGUUCGCGGCAGAUUAGUUAGUUGGCGGGGUAAUGGCCCACCAAGACGAUGAUCUGUAUCCGGCCUGAGAGGGCGCACGGACACACUGGAACUGAGACACGGUCCAGACUCCUACGGGAGGCAGCAGUGGGGAAUGUUGCGCAAUGGGGGAAACCCUGACGCAGCAACGCCGCGUGGAGGAUGAAGUCUCUUGGGACGUAAACUCCUUUCGAUAGGGAAGAUUAUGACGGUACCUAUGGAAGAAGCCCCGGCUAACUCCGUGCCAGCCGCCGCCGUAA